rnacentral:tRNA from 1 species
GUCCCAGUAGCAUAGUGGUUAGUGCACAACCCCGGAUAGGUUAAGACGCGGUUCGAAUCCCGCUUGAGAUG